UCCCAAAUGAAGGGCCGUGGC
rnacentral:piRNA from 1 species